GACGAACUGUCCUAACGUUGUUCGGAAUCACUGGGCUUAAAGGGCGCGUAGGCGGUCCGACAAGUCAGGGGUGAAAUCCUGCAGCUCAACUGUAGAAGUGCCUUUGAUACUGUCGGUCUUGAGGGAAAUAGGGGUGUGCGGAACUUCCAGUGGAGCGGUGAAAUGCGUUGAUAUUGGAAGGAACGCCGGAGGCGAAAACGGCGCACUGGAUUUCUUCUGACGCUGAGGCGCGAAAGCUAGGGGAGCAAACGGG
rnacentral:rRNA from 1 species